GAAGUUUUAUAGCGGUCAAAUCCUUUUCACUAAGCUGAACCACCAAAUCUUCGAUGGAGUGGUCAUCCGGGUUCCAAAAAACAUCCAUUCUGGUUGUCGACAGCGACAGCUCCAGAGGGAGCAGUCCUCGUCCGUCUCUAGUCUUCAGAUCCGUACGGGCGCGUUUUCUCAGCAGCAUCUCCACGCAACGCGCAGCGUGAGCCUCGGCCGCAGCGUGCAGCGGUGACAGCCCGGCAGUGUCCACCUCGUUCACCAACGGCAUGGCUCCUAGCUCUCCAUUGAC
rnacentral:misc_RNA from 1 species